AAACCGAAAGCAAAGAUGGAUUUUUAUAGGAGAAAAUGAAUUCGAUUAAAGGGGAAAACGGAUUAAAAAUUUGAAUUUCAAAUCCCCUUUUUCAGAAAACAGUAGAAAGGAGGGGGCUUUUUGACAAAAGAGGACGAGGGGACGGGAUGAGUAUGGGCGCUGCAGAUUUCUAGCCGGAUUUUCUGGGUUUGCGUGCUACGUUCUUCGUUGGAAGAAGAAGAAGAAAACAUACAGGGGUAGUGUAUGUA
rnacentral:lncRNA from 1 species